UGUCUCUUACAGUCUUUCUGCCUCCUGUUCUUGAAUGAAGAACUACGUUUCUUGUGGAUUAGAUUCAGUUAUGCCAAUUUGCUGGCAUAUGUAUGCAGGACUGGUGCAUGAAGAAGCCAGGAUUUGAAGCUCUUCGCUGACUCCAGACACACCCUCUCCAAUCCUUCUGCCCACACAGUGGUGUCUCUCAGUGCAGGACAGGUUCUUCUAUUAUGCUACAAGUGUAUCAUCACUAGGUCAACUUUGGAUGCCCCUCAACUGAAGAAUGGAAGAAUGUGGUACAUUUUCACAAUGAAGUACUACGCAGAAAAAACAAAACAAAACAAAAAAAAUGGCAUCUUGAAAUUGGC
rnacentral:lncRNA from 1 species